rnacentral:rRNA from 1 species
UUAAGUAAGUAAGGGCGUACGGCGGAUGCCUUGGCCAUAUCAGCCGAAGAAGGACGCGAUAAGCUGCGAUAAGCUGCGGUGAGGUGCAAGUAACCAGUGACCCGCAGAUUUCCGAAUGGGGAAACCCGGCAGUAGUAGUACUGUCACCUCUCGUAUGGGAGGAGGGCACCCGGUGAACUGAAACAUCUAAGUAGCCGGAGGAAGAGGAAUCAAAAGAGAUGCCCCCAGUAGCGGCGAGCGAAGCGGGCAAAGCCCAAACCGGAGCGGGAAACCGCACCGGGGUUGAGGACUACCAACAAGUACCUAGAUGAAGUCGAAUCAGGUGGGAACCUGAGCCAGAGACGGUGAGAGCCCGGUAGACGUAAAGAAGGGUAUGGGGUAGUAUCCGGAGUACCACGGGGCACGAGGAACCUUGUGGGAAGCAGGGGGGACCACCCUCCAAGGCGAAAUACUGAUAUGGACCGAUAGCGCAGAGUACCGUGAGGGAACGGUGAAAAGAACCCCGGGAGGGGAAUGAAAGAGAACCUGAAACCGUAUGUCUACAAGCAGUCGAAGCACGAUGCAGGUGCGACGGCGUGCCUAUUGAAGAAUGAACCGGCGAGUUAUUUUUUUCGGCGAGGUUAAGCGGCAGACGCGGAGCCGAAGCGAAAGCGAGUCUGAAGAGGGCGCGAAGUCGAAAGGAAUAGACCCGAAACCACAGUGAUCUAUCCAUGCCCAGGUUGAAGCACAGGUAAAAAUGUGUGGAGGACCGAACCAGUGAGCGUUGAAAAGCUUUUGGAUGAGGUGUGGAUAGGGGUGAAAUGCCAAUCGAACGUGGAGAUAGCUGGUUCUCCCCGAAAUAGCUUUAGGGCUAGCCUCAUGAAAAGAGUACAGGCGGUAGAGCACUGAACAGGGAAGGGGCCGAGCGGUUACCGAACCUAAUCAAACUACGAAUGGCUGUACUUAUGCAUGGGAGUCAGACUGCGAGUGAUAAGACCCGUAGUCAAGAGGGAAACAGCCCAGACCAACAGCUAAGGUCCCGAAUGCCGUACUAAGUGGCAAAGGAGGUGGCGUUUCGAAAACAACCAGGAUGUUGGCUCAGAAGCAGCCAUCAUUAAAAGAGUGCGUAAUAGCUCACUGGUCGAGAGACGCGGCGCCGAAGAUGACCGGGGCUGAAGUACGGAACCGAAGCUUUGGCAUGUAUGGAGACAUACAUGGGUAGGGGAGCGUUCCUGCGUGGGAGAAGCCUGACCGGAAGGACAGGUGGACAGGCAGGAAGCGAGAAUGCCGGUAUGAGUAGCGAAAAGAAAGGUGGGAAUCCUUUCCACCGAAAGCCUAAGGGUUCCUGGGCAACGAUCGUCGACCCAGGGUAAGUCGGGGCCUAAUCCGAGGCGCAGACGCAUAGGAGAUGGACAACAGGUUGAAAUUCCUGUACCGACACCGUCCGAUAGAGCGAGGGAGUGACACAAGAAGGAACGUUCGCAUGCGAAUGGAAGAGCAUGUCCAAGCCGGUAGGUGGCGUAUCAGGCAAAUCCGGUACGCCGAAAGCCGAGAGGUGAUGGGGAGGCUGUAGGGAUACAGAGGAAGGAACGGGGACUCAAUUGUCAAGAAAAGCUUCUAGCGAGGACGGUGGCGCCCGUACCGAAACCGACACAGGUAGGCAGGACGAGAAUUCUAAGGUGCGCGGGAAACCCCUCGUUAAGGAACUCGGCAAAAUGUAUCCGUAACUUCGGGAAAAGGAUAACCCAGGGUAGGUGAAGGAUAGAAACGUCCGGAGCCGAAAUGGGUGGCACAAGAGAGGCCCAAGCGACUGUUUAGCACAAACACAGGCGUCUGCGAAAGAGAAAUCUGAAGUAUAGAUGCUGACACCUGCCCGGUGCUGGAAGGUUAAGAGGACGUGUGAGCCGCAAGGCGAAGCAGAGAAUUGAAGCCCCAGUAAACGGCGGCCGUAACUAUAACGGUCCUAAGGUAGCGAAAUUCCUUGUCGGGUAAG